rnacentral:tRNA from 1 species
GGAUGGGUGGCUGAGUGGUCGAAAGCAACGGUCUUGAAAACCGUCGUAUCGCAAGGUACCGUGGGUUCGAAUCCCACCCCAUCCGCCA